rnacentral:rRNA from 1 species
UACGGGGGGGGUAAGCGUUGUUCGGAAUUACUGGGCGUAAAGGGCUCGUAGGCGGCCAACUAAGUCAUACGUGAAAUCCCUCAGCUUAACUGGGGAACUGCGUGUGAUACUGGAUGGCUUGGAUUUGGGAGAGGGAUGCGGAAUUCCAGGUGUAGCGGUGAAAUGCGUAGAUAUCGCUUGGAACGCCAAAGGUGAAGACAGGUUGCUGGGGGUGUGCCGACGCUGAGACGCGAAAGCCAGGGGAGCGAACGGG